AUGCAGCAUCAGCAUCAGCAGCUGCAGCCCACGCUUGCCUACUACACCACCCAGGGCUCGCACGUCUCACCCAUGUUCUUUCAGAUGAUUUCCCAGCUCACCUUCUCCCAGGAGCAGCAGCACCGCCACCGCCUCCGCCGCCACCACCACGCCUCUGUUGCCUUCGACAGGAGCACACUUCAGUCCAACACCGUGUCCACCCUGCAGUGGCCGCCGUCCCAGCACCAGUUCCUGAUGCAGAGGUUCUCUGCUGCUCCAGGUGAACCUUCGUCCAUCUUUCCCUUCUUUCUUGGAGGCGGCGGUGCUGCUGCUGCUGCUGCUCCUGCAGCAGUCAAUGCGCUUGAGUGGGGGCUGCAGCUCAAUGCGCUUGAGUAG
rnacentral:rRNA from 1 species